rnacentral:rRNA from 1 species
AGUGAACGCUGGCGGUAGGCCUAACACAUGCAAGUCGAACGGCAGCACAGUAAGAGCUUGCUCUUACGGGUGGCGAGUGGCGGACGGGUGAGGAAUACAUCGGAAUCUACUUUUUCGUGGGGGAUAACGUAGGGAAACUUACGCUAAUACCGCAUACGACCUACGGGUGAAAGCAGGGGAUCUUCGGACCUUGCGCGAUUGAAUGAGCUGAUGUCGGAUUAGCUAGUUGGCGGGGUAAAGGCCCACCAAGGCGACGAUCCGUAGCUGGUCUGAGAGGAUGAUCAGCCACACUGGAGCUGAGACACGGUCCAGACUCCUACGGGAGGCAGCAGUGGGGAAUAUUGGACAAUGGGCGCAAGCCUGAUCCAGCCAUACCGCGUGGGUGAAGAAGGCCUUCGGGUUGUAAAGCCCUUUUGUUGGGAAAGAAAAGCAGCAGGUUAAUACCCCGCUGUUCUGACGGUACCCAAAGAAUAAGCACCGGCUAACUUCGUG